CUUUAAAAGCAUUCUAAACUCAGCUUUAUUGUCAUUCGAUCAAUGGUACAUGAUAGAAUAAAAUAUAGUUAUCCAGGUCUCGGUUUUGUAGCAUAAAAGCUAAAAGGAUAAAAUAUCAAAUAAAAUAUAUAA